AUAGAAUCAAUAUCUUUGUUCUGUGAGAAUGGAUGUCAUACAAAAAGGAAAAUUGUUCUCACCAGGGAGUCCUUUAGGUCCUAUGCUGACUUGCAACGACCCGUCUCUAACCACCACAGCAAUUCACUGUCAUUAUACAGUUCUGGGGAUCUGGGGACUGAACCAGAUCCUACAGCAUGCUAGAUAAGCGUCCUACCACUGAGCUACACCCCCAGCUCCCAAAGACCCUAACUCAAAGCCAUUGCAUUGAGGGUUAGGGUUUCAAGAUACAAAUUUUGAGGAGACACAUUCAGUCCACAACAGAGACACAGAGGAAGGAGUUAAAGUGAGAAGAGCACUUGCAUUGCGGCAGACAACAUGCUAAGGGUUAUGCAGAGGUUGUUGAUGCAUUUGUCAUAGUGUGGCUAUUGGCUUGGAGUGAUCCCUUUACAACAAAAUUGA